CAAGUCUCUGACAUUGUUUUUUCAGGGAGGGUAUAACCCAUAUCCAUAUCAACCAUAUGCACAGCAAUAUCCAUACCCUUAUCCAUAUGGAAGAAACUAGUAAGCAUAGGAUGGAUUAUAGAGUCCUGGUCAGAAGUCUUCUUUGCUCUCUACUCAUGACCAUUCUUCUUACUCAAGAAUGAUUUCCCCUUCUAGCAACAUAUUAUCAGUCCACGUACAAUAAAUGUAUCCAAAGUAACUUUGAAAGCAUCUUUCAUAAAACAAUUCCAAAAGUAGAGCACUAUUUGUAUUCUCUCAUGUAUUAGAUUGGGACUUAAAAAAUGUAACCCCAAUAAACCUUGAAG